GGGAAUAUAGCUUAACUCGUGGGUAAAGCAGCUACCUUUUAAGUAGUGUAUAUAGGUUCAAAUCCUGUUAUUCCCC
rnacentral:tRNA from 1 species